UACGUAGGGGGCGAGCGUUGUCCGGAUUUAUUGGGCGUAAAGAGCGUGUAGGCGGCUCGGUAAGUCUGUCGUGAAAUCCUGAGGCUCAACCUCGGGCGUGCGAUGGAUACUGCCGGGCUAGAGGGUGGUAGAGGCGAGUGGAAUUCCCGGUGUAGCGGUGAAAUGCGCAGAUAUCAGGAGGAACACCGGUGGCGAAGGCGGGUCUCUGGGCCGAUACUGACGCUGAGGAGCGAAAGCGUGGGGAGCGAACAGG
rnacentral:rRNA from 1 species